AUCGGAUUACUGGGCGUAAGCGCACGCAGGCGGUCUGUCAAGUCGGAUGUGAAAUCCCCGGGCUCAACCUGGGAACUGCAUUCGAAACUGGCAGGCUGGAGUCUUGUAGAGGGGGGUAGAAUUCCAGGUGUAGCGGUGAAAUGCGUAGAGAUCUGGAGGAAUACCGGUGGCGAAGGCGGCCCCCUGGACAAAGACUGACGCUCAGGUGCGAAAGCGUGGGGAGCAAACAGGAUUAGAUACCCUGGUAGUCCACGCUGUAAACGAUGUCGACUUGGAGGUUGUUCCCUUGAGGAGUGGCUUCCGGAGCUAACGCGUUAAGUCGACCGCCUGGGGAGUACGGCCGCAAGGUUAAAACUCAAAGAAAUUGACGGA
rnacentral:rRNA from 1 species